rnacentral:rRNA from 2 species
UGGGGAAUAUUGGACAAUGGGGGCAACCCUGAUCCAGCCAUGCCGCGUGAGUGAAGAAGGCCUUAGGGUUGUAAAGCUCUUUCGGCGGGGACGAUGAUGACGGUACCCGCAGAAGAAGCCCCGGCUAACUCCGUGCCAGCAGCCGCGGUAACACGGAGGGGGCGAGCGUUGUUCGGAAUUACUGGGCGUAAAGCGCACGUAGGCGGCGCGUCGAGUUAGGGGUGAAAGGCCUGGGCUUAACCUGGGAACUGCCUUUAAUACUGGCGUGCUGGAGUCCGGGAGGGGGUAGCGGAAUUCCCAGUGUAGAGGUGAAAUUCGUAGAUAUUGGGAAGAACACCGGUGGCGAAGGCGGCUACCUGGCCCGGAACUGACGCUGAGGUGCGAAAGCGUGGGACGCAAACAGG